GAAAAAACAUCGGGCUGCUGAAAAGAAUCCAGGAUAAAGUGAAGGAGGAAAACCCUGAGCUGGAAGUGAUUUUCCUCCACUGCAUAAUCCAUCAGGAAGCGCUCUGCUCCUGACGCCUCCCAGAAGAGCCGCGGAGGAGGAGAGGAAUUCCACUGGAUUCAAAGACUUCGCCGGGUUUCUUUUGACUCUUCCGUCUGACUUGCCUCGCCUUCCCCCACUCUUCAUGUUGACCUGUUCUCCGUGAUCCCCUGCCAAACCAUCUUCCUGGCCCUGAGGGACUGUGGCUGUAGCCACAGUUUUGUUCCGAGCGUUGUUUGAAGCGCUCGGUGCAGCCUGGGGGUGAGCUCAGCCUGGACGGCA
ensembl:lncRNA